GGGAACUCCAGAGUACCUAGUUUUAUAAAUUCAUUCGAAAAUAUCUGAUUGUCUCUUUUUACUUUGCUGUAUACUGAGGAUUUUUUUGCUUACAGGAGACUCAUAGUUUAAAUAUAUUUGGUACUAUACUGGGAGAAUGUACAGAUGCCAUGGAUAUAGGGAAGGGAGCAUCUUUGCCUUUGAAAAACAUUUUUUAAAUGCUCUGAUUUGGAACCUAACUCAAACGCUUUAUGUGUUAUUGCCAUUUAUUGAGUUAAUAUAGGAUUUUUUUUUUUAUUAAUUUUAAGCCUAGUACAUUUUACCAGAACCAGCCUUAAUUUCCACGCCAGAAUUUCUAGACUUAUGGAUGGGUGGCAGUGGGAAAAAACAUUCUCUACUGUUACUGAAUUUUCAUCUACCCUGUAUUCUGGGUCACCACAGUUGUGGUCUAGGGAUAGGGAGAGAUAUGUUUCUUCCAGAAAAUGAAGUCUUGUGCACUUUCUGUAUGUAUCAAAGGAUGGCCAUAGCUGUGCUCAGAGCGUGAGCUUUCUUGGAGCUGCUCUCACAAGCAUUUCUUGCCAGGUUGCUCUGCUGAAAAUACUUGUGGUCCCCAUUUAAGCAUCUUCUUGCCACAAUACUUUUACCUAUAAAAAUUUUUCUUUUAAGUUUUUAGAUUCUAAAGCUUGCUCUCAAAAGUUUAUAUUGGGACUAACAUAUAGUAGUAGUAUUGUUACUUCCUUCCCAAAUCAACUUUAAAACAGACUUUUAAAUGACACUGUUUCAAGGUUUAGACCAGAAUUUGGAAAGUCUUAAAUUGCCCUGGAAUAUGCAAGCUUAAAUCUUUAGUAGUAACUUCUUGUAGGUUUACAAAUACAGUUCUGGAGAUUCUGCUAUUUAUUGCCAUGUCAGAGCUUUUCAUUUCAAAGACUUUUGGCAUAUAGAGGCGUUUAAUGUAAAGGAGGUUAGCAUCAGCAUUAACAUUUUUGCUACUGCUCAUUUUUAGACCAAUUCCCUCUGGGAUCAGUCAUAAGAAUAUUUAAAAACAUGAUAAGCUAGCCAGUACUGAGAAAAUAGUAAAGCUCUUUCAAUUAAAGACAAAUUAUUAGGGGAGUUCCCAUCGUGGAGCACUGUAGCUCCUGGCCUGCGCCAGAGCCACAGCAACGCAGGAUCCGAGCCGGGUCUGCGACCUACACCACAGCUCACGGCAAUGCCAAUGACAGAUCAUUAACCCACUGAGCGAGGCUAGGGAUUGAACCUGCAACAUCAUGGUUCCUAGUCAGAUUUGUUAACCACUGAGCCACAACGGGAACUCCAACUCAUUUCUUUGUAGUACUAAAUAAUACUUCAUUGUAUUCUUUUAGCUUUUAGGAAGGGAAAAAAACUUACAUAUAUUAGUGCUGUUAUUUAAACAUUUUUUCAUUUUAAUUUUUAUCCUUGCUAAGUAAAGUACAGUUUUUCCUUUUUGCCCAUAAUGAAACUAAGUCACAGAGAAAUUUCCCAAUUCAAAGGAACAAUUCAAAUCUGGGAAUUGAAUCCAAAGAGAUCUUUUUCCUGCUGCAUCUCCCUGUCUUGGAGAAGGAAUAUGUAGUAUAUUUAAAAUCUUACAUGUUAUAGGUGCAACUAAAUUUUUUUUUUAAAUAUAGCCUUUUUACAUCUUUUAGGAGUUCCCAUUGUGGCUCAUUGGGUUAAGAACCUGACUAGUAUCCAUGAGGAUGUGGGUUCUAUCCCUGGCCUUGCUCAGUGGGUUAAGGAUCCGGCAUUGCCAUGAGCUGUGGUGUAGGUUGCAGAUGUGGCUCCCACUUUGUGGCAGCUGUGGUGUAGGCUGGCAGCUGCAGCUCUAGUAUGACCCUAGCCUUGGAAACUUCCAUAUGUCGCAGGUGUGGCCCUAAAAAAUAUAUAAAAAAAAAAAAACCCAGAAAACCAUCUUUUAUGUUCCAUUGACAUUAUUUCCUGUAUGGAAGAUAAUCUGCUUUUGGACAAAGAAAAGGUAAUAAGUCUGUAUGGUAUAUAUUGCUAUUUUACUGAGGUUUUAAUGUCUUAGUAGAUGUAGUUUAAAUUUUACUAACUUUAAGGUCAGAUGCAGUACAAAGUGUUCCUUGGUUGUCAUCCUUCUGUAAUCUUGUGAAUUAUAUAUAUGUAUCUUUCCUGAUGCAGACAAUGAACAUAACAUGGUAAUUAAGAUUAUUGUUAAGAAAGCCUCCUACUUGGACAAGUUAACUUUAUCAUUUGAUGGCAGCUAAUGCCAGCUGUACAUUAUGAAGGCUCCUACUUUGAGAAAUGUGAGAAGAGAUUUAAGUUCUUUUUUUUUUUUUUUUUUUUUUGGUUUUGCCCUAGCAUGCAGAAGUUCUCAGGUGAGGGAUCGAAUGCAUGCCAUAGCUGUAAAAGAGCCGCAGCAGUAACAAUGCAAGAUCCUUAACUCACUAAGCCACAAGGGAACUCCUAGGUUCAUGUUCAUUAUUCCCUUUUCCCCUCAUAUUUUCAGGCAACUGAUAAUUGAAAAAAAUUCAUAUAUAAUUAGUACAUUGAAAAAUUUCUCUUGGUUUACUAAAAUGUGUUAAUACUGAAUUUAUAUUAAGCCAUCCAGGAACUCUAAUGGACUCUGUCCCAUGAUUUCAUUUUCUUAGAUAUAUAGUAGGAGAUUAUAACAACCUAUAUACACAUGCCUACACAGACUUUGGUUUUUAUUUUAAAGAAGAUUCUGUAAAAGUAUUUCCAUUAUUACCAUUUUAGCCAUUUGCGUCUUUAUUAAUCUACGUAACUGUUGAGGAGCAAGUGGCAAAACAUGUGUGUGUAUAUAUAUGUAUAAAAUAUUACAUAUGCCUUUUUCUAGGGCCCUCACGCGGCAUAUGGAGGUUCCCAGGCUAGGGGUCCAAUCGGAGCUGUAGCCACCAGCCUACACCACAGCCACAGCAACACGGGAUCUGAGCCAAGUCUGCAACCUACACCACAGCUCACGGCAACGCCGGAUCCUUAACCCACUGAGUAAGGCCAGGGAUCGAACCCGUGACCUCAUGGUUCCUAGUCGGAUUCGUUAACCACUGCGCCAUGAUGGGAACUCCUAUUACUUCAUUUAUAUUGAUUUUCUCAUAUAACAUGGUGACCUAAAGUAUGUAAACUGAUAACCUAUGAAGUAAAUGCUUUUAUUUUCAGUAUAUAGUAAACUGUGGCUUGAAAUGAAUUAAUUGCCACAUGAUCAUACUCCUGACAAAAGGAAUAUUGGCAAGAAUUAUAAAGAGGCUGAGAUUUUAUUUUACCCUGCUUUCAGGCCAACUUGUUUAUGAAACUGUCCAUAAUGUCAGGGAUGCUGGCAGAAGAUCUGAGAUUUCCAGUCAGAGACAAGUGACUUUAUUACUCACAGCAACAACAGUGGAUAGAAUAUCAUCAUUUUUUUGGUGAUAGUUCCUUGAGCUCCCAAUUCUCCUAGGGUGAUGAGAAGAGAGCCAGGCGACACCUGCAAACAUAUUCUGCAAACAAAUACAUUGCAGAAAAGGAGAACUCUGAGCUUGGGGGAACCAAAUCUUUUAUAAUGGGUAAUAAACAUGCCUUUUUGCUCCAGAGCAAAAAAACCAUAGCUUUCAAAGUUGUUCACUCUAAAGAUACGUACUUCAAAGAUAGUCUAAACAAAAGAUAAGUACUUCUUUUAUAAAAUACGGAGAAAUAUGGAAGACCUAUGCAGAAUUUUCCCCCAGUCAUACAGUGGUAGAGUGACUCUAAAGUAAAUCUCUUAACUAUUCUUUGAUAUACUGUCUCUCCGAGUAAAGUAUUUUUGCCUUUAUUUUUUUCCCUUUUCUCUUCUAUGAGUCUUCUCUAGGUUCUUCUUGGUUAUUCAAAUAAUUUUUAGAAGUAUCCUUUUCCUUCCAGCUUUGCUGUCAUUACCCAAUUUCUGGACUCAUGUCCUCUUUUGACUGAGUUAUUGCAUAUAAUCUGGGAGGUCUUUUCCUUUGGCCCCCCCCCCCCACCCCCUUCAUUUUGUUUUUGGGGAAAAUGCCUCUUUCUGAAAGUCCUUUAUGAAUCUAUAAUAGGUUUACUUGGCCAGUCUUUGUUCAAUGAAUUAAUGGAUUGAGUUCAUACAAAUUAUCCAUCAAAUCCAGGCUCUUUGGCCUUGUAUUUAAAGCGAUUUGUAAUUUGUUCCUUUUUUGUCUAAUCAACUUUUCUUCAGAUUCCAUUGUAAUACUUACUUCUAUAACUAUUAUUUUUUCAUGUUAUUUCAUCUUUCUGAAUUGCUCUCUGUAGUUCUUUUCUGAAUUCUGCCUGUUCUGCUCUACCCUCUCCAUGAAACUGUCCCAGACGGUACUGAAUGUGCAUUUUGUGAGCUCUUACCAUGUUUUUCAUUAUGACUUUUUUAAAAUUUAAUUUUAUUAAAGUAUAGUUGAUUUACAGGUUUUACAUGUCUUUAAAUGAGUAAACCCUAGUUGGGGAUUCUCUAUAUUCAAGAGCUCAAGAACACACAGAAUUAAGGAGUUAAAGAGAGAAGUAAACAACAUAGUAGACAUUAAAAAAAAGCCUGUCUCAGCAAAUAAUAGAACAAGUAGACCAAAAUUAAAAAAUAAAAAUACAAAAGGGUAAGAACACAGAGGAUCUAAACAACACAAAUAUCUACCUUGGUCUAAUUUAUAUUUACAGAAUAACCAACAACUACAGAAUGUAUGUAAGAUGCUCAGUAACACCCUAAGUAUUUGGAAAUUAAACAACCUAUACCUAUAAAAUUCGUGGUCAUUAAGGAAUUGCAAGGGAAAUCAAAAAUAUUUUUAACUGAAAGAUAAUAAAAAUGCUUUAUAUAAGAAUUUCUGGAGAUAACUAAAUAGUUCUUGUAGGAAAAUGUAGAAAUUACUGCUUAUGUUAGAUAUCAGUGACUUAAGAUUUCAUCACAAUAACCUAAAAAAAGAACAAACUAAAUCCAAGUAAGUGGAAGGAAGAAAAUAAAGUAAUAGCAGAAACCAAUGACAUAAAAACAGAUAAAAAAA
rnacentral:lncRNA from 1 species